rnacentral:rRNA from 1 species
UAAAGAUUCAUCGCUGAUAGAUAGGCAUGCGUUCCAUUAGGCAGUUGGCGGGGUAACGGCCCACCAAACCGACGAUGGAUAGGGGUUCUGAGAGGAAGGUCCCCCACAUUGGUACUGAGACACGGACCAAACUCCUACGGGAGGCAGCAGUGAGGAAUAUUGGUCAAUGGGCGUAAGCCUGAACCAGCCAAGUCGCGUGAGGGAUGAAGGUUCUAUGGAUCGUAAACCUCUUUUAUAAGGGAAUAAAGUGUGGGACGUGUCCUGUUUUGUAUGUACCUUAUGAAUAAGGAUCGGCUAACUCCGUGCCAGCAGCCGCGGUAAUACGGAGGAUCCGAGCGUUAUCCGGAUUUAUUGGGUUUAAAGGGUGCGUAGGCGGCCUUUUAAGUCAGCGGUGAAAGUCUGUGGCUCAACCAUAGAAUUGCCGUUGAAACUGGGAGGCUUGAGUAUGUUUGAGGCAGGCGGGAUGCGUGGUGUAGCGGUGAAAUGCUUAGAUAUCACGCAGAACCCCGAUUGCGAAGGCAGCCUGCCAAGCCAUGACUGACGCUGAUGCACGAAAGCGUGGGGAUCAAACAGGAUUAGAUACCCUGGUAGUCCACGCAGUAAACGAUGAUCACUAGCUGUUUGCGAUACAGUGUAA